GUGGGGAAUAUUGGGCAAUGGGCGCAAGCCUGACCCAGCAACGCCGCGUGAGGGAAGAAGGCUUUCGGGUUGUAAACCUCUGUCCUUGGUGACGAAGAAAGUGACGGUAGCCAAGGAGGAAGCCCCGGCUAACUACGUGCCAGCAGCCGCGGUAAUACGUAGGGGGCGAGCGUUGUCCGGAAUUACUGGGCGUAAAGGGUGCGUAGGUGGCCUUUUAAGUUGGAUGUGAAAUACCCGGGCUUAACUUGGGGGGUGCAUCGAAUACUGGGAGGCUAGAGUGCAGGAGAGGGAAGCGGAAUUCCUAGUGUAGCGGUGAAAUGCGUAGAUAUUAGGAGGAACACCAGUGGCGAAGGCGGCUUUCUGGACUGUAACUGACACUGAGGCACGAAAGCGUGGGGAGCAAACAGGAUUAGAAACCCUGGUAGUCC
rnacentral:rRNA from 1 species